GUAGGGUGCAAGCGUUAAUCGGAAUUACUGGGCGUAAAGCGUGCGCAGGCGGUCCGCUAAGACAGAUGUGAAAUCCCCGGGCUUAACCUGGGAACUGCAUUUGUGACUGGCGGGCUAGAGUAUGUCAGAGGGGGGUAGAAUUCCACGUGUAGCAGUGAAAUGCGUAGAGAUGUGGAGGAAUACCGAUGGCGAAGGCAGCCCCCUGGGCCAAUACUGACGCUCAUGCACGAAAGCGUGGGGGGGAGCAAACAGGAUUAGAUACCCUGGUAUCCACGCCCUAAACGAUGUCAACUAGUUGUCGGGUCUUCAUUGACUUGGUAACGUAGCUAAGCGUGAAGUUGACCGCCUGGGAUACGGUCGCAAGAUUA
rnacentral:rRNA from 1 species